rnacentral:rRNA from 1 species
AAUGGGUCAGCGACUUAUAUUCUGUAGCAAGGUUAACCGAAUAGGGGAGCCGAAGGGAAACCGAGUCUUAACUGGGCGUUAAGUUGCAGGGUAUAGACCCGAAACCCGGUGAUCUAGCCAUGGGCAGGUUGAAGGUUGGGUAACACUAACUGGAGGACCGAACCGACUAAUGUUGAAAAAUUAGCGGAUGACUUGUGGCUGGGGGUGAAAGGCCAAUCAAACCGGGAGAUAGCUGGUUCUCCCCGAAAGCUAUUUAGGUAGCGCCUCGUGAAUUCAUCUCCGGGGGUAGAGCACUGUUUCGGCAAGGGGGUCAUCCCGACUUACCAACCCGAUGCAAACUGCGAAUACCGGAGAAUGUUAUCACGGGAGACACACGGCGGGUGCUAACGUCCGUCGUGAAGAGGGAAACAACCCAGACCGCCAGCUAAGGUCCCAAAGUCAUGGUUAAGUGGGAAACGAUGUGGGAAGGCCCAGACAGCCAGGAUGUUGGCUUAGAAGCAGCCAUCAUUUAAAGAAAGCGUAAUAGCUCACUGGUCGAGUCGGCCUGCGCGGAAGAUGUAACGGGGCUAAACCAUGCACCGAAGCUGCGGCAGCGACGCUUAUGCGUUGUUGGGUAGGGGAGCGUUCUGUAAGCCUGUGAAGGUGUGCUGUGAGGCAUGCUGGAGGUAUCAGAAGUGCGAAUGCUGACAUAAGUAACGAUAAAGCGGGUGAAAAGCCCGCUCGCCGGAAGACCAAGGGUUCCUGUCCAACGUUAAUCGGGGCAGGGUGAGUCGACCCCUAAGGCGAGGCCGAAAGGCGUAGUCGAUGGGAAACAGGUUAAUAUUCCUGUACUUGGUGUUACUGCGAAGGGGGGACGGAGAAGGCUAUGUUGGCCGGGCGACGGUUGUCCCGGUUUAAGCGUGUAGGCUGGUUUUCCAGGCAAAUCCGGAAAAUCAAGGCUGAGGCGUGAUGACGAGGCACUACGGUGCUGAAGCAACAAAUGCCCUGCUUCCAGGAAAAGCCUCUAAGCAUCAGGUAACAUCAAAUCGUACCCCAAACCGACACAGGUGGUCAGGUAGAGAAUACCAAGGCGCUUGAGAGAACUCGGGUGAAGGAACUAGGCAAAAUGGUGCCGUAACUUCGGGAGAAGGCACGCUGAUAUGUAGGUGAAGUCCCUUGCGGAUGGAGCUGAAAUCAGUCGAAGAUACCAGCUGGCUGCAACUGUUUAUUAAAAACACAGCACUGUGCAAACACGAAAGUGGACGUAUACGGUGUGACGCCUGCCCGGUGCCGGAAGGUUAAUUGAUGGGGUCAGCGCAAGCGAAGCUCUUGAUCGAAGCCCCGGUAAACGGCGGCCGUAACUAUAACGGUCCUAAGGUAGCGAAAUUCCUUGUCGGGUAAGUUCCGACCUGCACGAAUGGCGUAAUGAUGGCCAGGCUGUCUCCACCCGAGACUCAGUGAAAUUGAACUCGCUGUGAAGAUGCAGUGUACCCGCGGCAAGACGGAAAGACCCCGUGAACCUUUACUAUAGCUUGACACUGAACAUUGAGCCUUGAUGUGUAGGAUAGGUGGGAGGCUUUGAAGUGUGGACGCCAGUCUGCAUGGAGCCGACCUUGAAAUACCACCCUUUAAUGUUUGAUGUUCUAACGUGGACCCGUGAUCCGGGUUGCGGACAGUGUCUGGUGGGUAGUUUGACUGGGGCGGUCUCCUCCUAAAGAGUAACGGAGGAGCACGAAGGUUGGCUAAUCCUGGUCGGACAUCAGGAGGUUAGUGCAAUGGCAUAAGCCAGCUUGACUGCGAGCGUGACGGCGCGAGCAGGUGCGAAAGCAGGUCAUAGUGAUCCGGUGGUUCUGAAUGGAAGGGCCAUCGCUCAACGGAUAAAAGGUACUCCGGGGAUAACAGGCUGAUACCGCCCAAGAGUUCAUAUCGACGGCGGUGUUUGGCACCUCGAUGUCGGCUCAUCACAUCCUGGGGCUGAAGUAGGUCCCAAGGGUAUGGCUGUUCGCCAUUUAAAGUGGUACGCGAGCUGGGUUUAGAACGUCGUGAGACAGUUCGGUCCCUAUCUGCCGUGGGCGCUGGAGAACUGAGGGGGGCUGCUCCUAGUACGAGAGGACCGGAGUGGACGCAUCACUGGUGUUCGGGUUGUCAUGCCAAUGGCACUGCCCGGUAGCUAAAUGCGGAAGAGAUAAGUGCUGAAAGCAUCUAAGCACGAAACUU